GAUGAACGCUAGCGGCAGGCUUAACACAUGCAAGUCGAGGGGUAGAGGCUUUCGGGCCUUGAGACCGGCGCACGGGUGCGUAACGCGUAUGCAAUCUGCCUUGUACUGGGGGAUAGCCCAGAGAAAUUUGGAUUAAUACCCCAUAGUAUUUUCGGUUGGCAUCAACUGAUUAUUAAAGUUUUUCGGUACAAGAUGAGCAUGCGUCCCAUUAGCUAGGUGGUAUGGUAAGGGCAUACCAAGGCUACGAUGGGUAGGGGUCCUGAGAGGGGGUUCCCCCACACUGGUACUGGGACACGGGCCAGACUCCUACGGGAGGCAGCAGUGAGGAAUAUUGGUCAAUGGUCGCAAGACUUAACCAGCCAUGCCGCGUGCAGGAUGAAGCAUCUAUGGUGUGUAAACUGCUUUUGUACGGGAAGAAACACUCCUACGUGUAGGGGCUUGACGGUACCGUAAGAAUAAGGAUCGGCUAACUCCGUGCCAGCCGCCGCCGUAACAC
rnacentral:rRNA from 1 species